rnacentral:rRNA from 1 species
GAUGAACGCUAGCUACAGGCUUAACACAUGCAAGUCGAGGGGAAACGACAUCGAAAGCUUGCUUUUGAUGGGCGUCGACCGGCGCACGGGUGAGUAACGCGUAUCCAACCUGCCCAUCACUUGGGGAUAACCUUGCGAAAGUAAGACUAAUACCCAAUGAUAUCUCUAGAAGACAUCUGAAAGAGAUUAAAGAUUUAUCGGUGAUGGAUGGGGAUGCGUCUGAUUAGCUUGUUGGCGGGGUAACGGCCCACCAAGGCAACGAUCAGUAGGGGUUCUGAGAGGAAGGUCCCCCACAUUGGAACUGAGACACGGUCCAAACUCCUACGGGAGGCAGCAGUGAGGAAUAUUGGUCAAUGGGCGAGAGCCUGAACCAGCCAAGUAGCGUGCAGGAAGACGGCCCUAUGAGUUGUAAACUGCUUUUAUAAGGGAAUAAAGUGAGAGUCGUGACUCUUUUUGUAUGUACCUUAUGAAUAAGGACCGGCUAAUUCCGUG